rnacentral:tRNA from 1 species
UGUAGGAGAGCGAAGUUUUGCGUUCGGUUUCGGCCCGAUUUUUAAAGGUUUUCUUUUUCUAUAG